CCUACGGGAGGCAGCAGUGAGGAAUAUUGGUCAAUGGACGAGAGUCUGAACCAGCCAAGUAGCGUGCAGGAUGACUGCCCUCUGGGUUGUAAACUUCUUUUAUAAAGGAAUAAAACGAGGCACGUGUGCCUUUUUGCAUGUACUUUAUGAAUAAGGAUCGGCUAACUCCGUGACAGCAGCCGCGGUAAUACGGAGGGUCCGAGGGUUAUCCGGAUUUAUUGGGUUUAAAGGGAGCGUAGAUGGGUUGUUAAGUCAGUUGUGAAAGUUUGCGGCUCAACCGUAAAAUUGAAAUUGAUACUGGCAGUCUUGAGUACAGAUGAGGUAGGCGGAAUUCGUGGUGUAGCGGUGAAAUGCUUAGAUAUCACGAAGAACCCCGAUUGCGAAGGCAGCUGACUAGACUGUGACUGACAUUGAGGCUCGAAAGUGUGGGUAUCAAACAGGAUUAGAUACCCCAGUAGUC
rnacentral:rRNA from 1 species